GGCAAUUAGUGUGUGUGCUUUUACAGAAGCUUCUGCAGUCGAUUCUUCUUCAAUAUUUGAUAGAGCGGUAAUUAUAGGCUCCAAAGCUUCUUUAAACAUUAUAACUGAAUCGUGGCGUUGCACCCAGCGAGUCUCACACAGACA